rnacentral:rRNA from 1 species
AAUCAACGCUGGCGGCGUGCCUAACACAUGCAAGUCGAACGCGAAAGGGGCUUCGGCCCUGAGUAGAGUGGCAAACGGGUGAGUAACACGUGGGUGACCUGCCUCAGAGUGGGGGAUAACGUCCCGAAAGGGACGCUAAUACCGCAUAACAUCCUGCCUUUGGAAAGGCGGAGAUCAAAGCCGGGGAUCGCAAGACCUGGCGCUUGGAGAGGGGCCCGCGUCUGAUUAGCAGUUGGUAGGGUAAUGGCCUACCAAGGCGACGAUCUGUAACCGGCCUGAGAGGGCGGUCGGUCACACUGACACUGACAUACGGGUCAGACUCCUACGGGAGGCAGCAGUCGGGAAUUUUGGGCAAUGGGCGAAAGCCUGACCCAGCAACGCCGCGUGAAGGAUGAAAUCCCUCGGGAUGUAAACUUCGCAAGAAUGGGAAGAAUAAGUGUGGGCUAAUACCCCUCAUGAUGACGGUACCAUUUGUAAGCUCCGGCUAACUUCGUGCCAGCCGCCGCGGUAA